CCUUCAACCUGCGCCCCGCCGCCCCCUCGCAGAACGUCGACUUCUUGCAGUCCGGCCGGGGCUACCGCCGAGGGGACCGCUGGCGGCCGCGGCGAUGGGGACGCUGGGGUCCGCGGGGCGGAGAGUCCGAGCGGCGUGUCCGGAGCUUGCUGGGCUGGUGUCGGUCCUGCUCCCGCAACCGAGCCCGGAGCACUGCGCGCGAGUCAGCCGCUUGUGUGCGUCCUCAGGGGCCGUCCCGGCGGGAUGUGGAUUCUCGGAGUGGAUGCACCAGUCCCGGGGCUGGAACGCCGGCCCAGAGCUGUGCCCCUACUGUGGUAACCUGCGGAGAGACCCGCUUCGGAGCCCGCUGCUGCCACCUGCGGGUGGAAAGAAGCAAGCUGGUCCAGGUGGCGUGCCCAGGGGCUUGAGUGUCCGGAUCCAAGGGAAAUGAAGGUGUGAUGUAGAGAUCCGCUGAGGUACUGAGUCGUUGGGAUGAAGGAAAGAAAAUGGUUUAAGAAACUUAAAUAGCAAGUGUCUUCCCACAUCCCCUGAGGGAUUAAGACUGUUGAAAGCAUAUAAAGCAAAGAGCUUUCCCUAGAAAAUGAAAUUUGGCCCUACUGAAAAAAUAGUAUUGUGUAGGAUAAUUUUAUGCUGGGAACUACAAAUAAGGAUCCCAAAUGAUUGUUUCCUUUGAAUAAAUAUGACGUUAUCAGAAUGACGAAAUAAAAAGAAAUUGAAUAGGGCAUAGGGACCCUAGUCCCAGAAGCCUGGAACUGAUUUGUCAGUUGUAGACAGCCA
ensembl:lncRNA